GUGACCCUUGACCUUUCCUCUUUGUUGCAGAAAUGUUUGGUCUGGUGGAAUCAAACCAACAAGGUACUAACUUGGAAACUGUGAUGCCAAACAUGAAGGACAGAGGAGAAUAGGCAGCAGGAACGAUGAAGUUGAUGAAGACAAAGUGUUUUUGGAGCUGCUUUAAUACUGCCACAAGCUCUCCCUGAAGGAUCUUUUCACACCCUGGGAUCAUCCGCAACACCUGCCCUGCAACCUGAUUCCUCCCCUGGUCCCUCCUCGGUAGCGGGGUCAUCUUCACCAUUCUGCCUCCUGCCCCUGGCUGUUUCUGGCUGUGGACUGAGCUUCAGUACCCUCUAGGGGAGAUCUCUGGAGCCGGAUCAGUCGCUGACAGGACUUGAUGUUCACAUCCAGGACAGAAGCUACCAAAGACGUUUGAUUGUCCCAAAUGAAAGAAACGAGUACCACGACUACUUUGUCUUUAUGUGCACGUAACUCUUCCAACCAUAUACCCGUGGACAAAACAAGCCGACAGAAAAGUGAAGUUAUUUGACCUGAAUCUUGAUGUCUUUUACUUUUAAAGCCAAAGAAAAAGCAAUAAAAAAAAAAAAAACAUCUGAGAGAACCUUU